AUUGAACGCUGGCGGCAGGCCUAACACAUGCAAGUCGAGCGGAUGAAGGGAGCUUGCUCCUGGAUUCAGCGGCGGACGGGUGAGUAAUGCCUAGGAAUCUGCCUGGUAGUGGGGGAUAACGUCCGGAAACGGGCGCUAAUACCGCAUACAUCCUGAGGGAGAAAGUGGGGGAUCUUCGGACCUCACGCUAUCAGAUGAGCCUAGGUCGGAUUAGCUAGUUGGUGUGGUAAAGGCCUACCAAGGCGACGAUCCGUAACUGGUCUGAGAGGAUGAUCAGUCACACUGGAACUGAGACACGGUCCAGACUCCUACGGGAGGCAGCAGUGGGGAAUAUUGGACAAUGGGCGAAAGCCUGAUCCAGCCAUGCCGCGUGUGUGAAGAAGGUCUUCGGAUUGUAAAGCACUUUAAGUUGGGAGGAAGGGCAGUAAGUUAAUACCUUGCUGUUUUGACGUUACCAACAGAAUAAGCACCGGCUAACUUCGUG
rnacentral:rRNA from 1 species